UUGCUUUGGCAGCAUAUAUACUAAAAGUGGAACAAUACAGAGAAGAUUAGCAUGGCCCCUACACAAGGAUGACACACAAAUUCAUGAAGUGUUCCAUAUUUUU
rnacentral:snRNA from 1 species